rnacentral:rRNA from 1 species
AAUACAAAGGGCAGCAAAACCGCGAGGUCAAGCAAAUCCCAUAAAGUUGUUCUCAGUUCGGAUUGUAGUCUGCAACUCGACUACAUGAAGCUGGAAUCGCUAGUAAUCGUAGAUCAGCAUGCUACGGUGAAUACGUUCCCGGGUCUUGUACACACCGCCCGUCACACCACGAGAGUUUGUAACACCCGAAGCCGGUGGAGUAACCAUUUUGGAGCUAGCCGUCGAAGGUGGGACAAAUGAUUGGGGUGAAGUCGUAACAAGGUAGCCGUAGCGGAAGGUGCGGCUGGAUCACCUCCUUUCUAAGGA